rnacentral:rRNA from 1 species
UUAAGCGACUAAGCGUACACGGUGGAUGCCCUGGCAGUCAGAGGCGAUGAAGGACGUGCUAAUCUGCGAUAAGCGUCGGUAAGGUGAUAUGAACCGUUAUAACCGGCGAUUUCCGAAUGGGGAAACCCAGUGUGAUUCGUCACACUAUCAUUAACUGAAUCCAUAGGUUAAUGAGGCGAACCGGGGGAACUGAAACAUCUAAGUACCCCGAGGAAAAGAAAUCAACCGAGAUUCCCCCAGUAGCGGCGAGCGAACGGGGAGGAGCCCAGAGCCUGAAUCAGUGUGUGUGUUAGUGGAAGCGUCUGGAAAGGCGCGCGAUACAGGGUGACAGCCCCGUACACAAAAAUGCACAUGCUGUGAGCUCGAUGAGUAGGGCGGGACACGUGGUAUCCUGUCUGAAUAUGGGGGGACCAUCCUCCAAGGCUAAAUACUCCUGACUGACCGAUAGUGAACCAGUACCGUGAGGGAAAGGCGAAAAGAACCCCGGCGAGGGGAGUGAAAAAGAACCUGAAACCGUGUACGUACAAGCAGUGGGAGCACGCUUAGGCGUGUGACUGCGUACCUUUUGUAUAAUGGGUCAGCGACUUAUAUUCUGUAGCAAGGUUAACCGAAUAGGGGAGCCGAAGGGAAACCGAGUCUUAACUGGGCGUUAAGUUGCAGGGUAUAGACCCGAAACCCGGUGAUCUAGCCAUGGGCAGGUUGAAGGUUGGGUAACACUAACUGGAGGACCGAACCGACUAAUGUUGAAAAAUUAGCGGAUGACUUGUGGCUGGGGGUGAAAGGCCAAUCAAACCGGGAGAUAGCUGGUUCUCCCCGAAAGCUAUUUAGGUAGCGCCUCGUGAAUUCAUCUCCGGGGGUAGAGCACUGUUUCGGCAAGGGGGUCAUCCCGACUUACCAACCCGAUGCAAACUGCGAAUACCGGAGAAUGUUAUCACGGGAGACACACGGCGGGUGCUAACGUCCGUCGUGAAGAGGGAAACAACCCAGACCGCCAGCUAAGGUCCCAAAGUCAUGGUUAAGUGGGAAACGAUGUGGGAAGGCCCAGACAGCCAGGAUGUUGGCUUAGAAGCAGCCAUCAUUUAAAGAAAGCGUAAUAGCUCACUGGUCGAGUCGGCCUGCGCGGAAGAUGUAACGGGGCUAAACCAUGCACCGAAGCUGCGGCAGCGACGCUGAUGCGUUGUUGGGUAGGGGAGCGUUCUGUAAGCCUGCGAAGGUGUGCUGUGAGGCAUGCUGGAGGUAUCAGAAGUGCGAAUGCUGACAUAAGUAACGAUAAAGCGGGUGAAAAGCCCGCUCGCCGGAAGACCAAGGGUUCCUGUCCAACGUUAAUCGGGGCAGGGUGAGUCGACCCCUAAGGCGAGGCCGAAAGGCGUAGUCGAUGGGAAACAGGUUAAUAUUCCUGUACUUGGUGUUACUGCGAAGGGGGGACGGAGAAGGCUAUGUUGGCCGGGCGACGGUUGUCCCGGUUUAAGCGUGUAGGCUGGUUUUCCAGGCAAAUCCGGAAAAUCAAGGCUGAGGCGUGAUGACGAGGCACUACGGUGCUGAAGCAACAAAUGCCCUGCUUCCAGGAAAAGCCUCUAAGCAUCAGGUAACAUCAAAUCGUACCCCAAACCGACACAGGUGGUCAGGUAGAGAAUACCAAGGCGCUUGAGAGAACUCGGGUGAAGGAACUAGGCAAAAUGGUGCCGUAACUUCGGGAGAAGGCACGCUGAUAUGUAGGUGAAGUCCCUCGCGGAUGGAGCUGAAAUCAGUCGAAGAUACCAGCUGGCUGCAACUGUUUAUUAAAAACACAGCACUGUGCAAACACGAAAGUGGACGUAUACGGUGUGACGCCUGCCCGGUGCCGGAAGGUUAAUUGAUGGGGUCAGCGCAAGCGAAGCUCUUGAUCGAAGCCCCGGUAAACGGCGGCCGUAACUAUAACGGUCCUAAGGUAGCGAAAUUCCUUGUCGGGUAAGUUCCGACCUGCACGAAUGGCGUAAUGAUGGCCAGGCUGUCUCCACCCGAGACUCAGUGAAAUUGAACUCGCUGUGAAGAUGCAGUGUACCCGCGGCAAGACGGAAAGACCCCGUGAACCUUUACUAUAGCUUGACACUGAACAUUGAGCCUUGAUGUGUAGGAUAGGUGGGAGGCUUGGAAGUGUGGACGCCAGUCUGCAUGGAGCCGACCUUGAAAUACCACCCUUUAAUGUUUGAUGUUCUAACGUGGACCCGUGAUCCGGGUUGCGGACAGUGUCUGGUGGGUAGUUUGACUGGGGCGGUCUCCUCCUAAAGAGUAACGGAGGAGCACGAAGGUUGGCUAAUCCUGGUCGGACAUCAGGAGGUUAGUGCAAUGGCAUAAGCCAGCUUGACUGCGAGCGUGACGGCGCGAGCAGGUGCGAAAGCAGGUCAUAGUGAUCCGGUGGUUCUGAAUGGAAGGGCCAUCGCUCAACGGAUAAAAGGUACUCCGGGGAUAACAGGCUGAUACCGCCCAAGAGUUCAUAUCGACGGCGGUGUUUGGCACCUCGAUGUCGGCUCAUCACAUCCUGGGGCUGAAGUAGGUCCCAAGGGUAUGGCUGUUCGCCAUUUAAAGUGGUACGCGAGCUGGGUUUAGAACGUCGUGAGACAGUUCGGUCCCUAUCUGCCGUGGGCGCUGGAGAACUGAGGGGGGCUGCUCCUAGUACGAGAGGACCGGAGUGGACGCAUCACUGGUGUUCGGGUUGUCAUGCCAAUGGCACUGCCCGGUAGCUAAAUGCGGAAGAGAUAAGUGCUGAAAGCAUCUAAGCACGAAACUUGCCCCGAGAUGAGUUCUCCCUGACUCCUUGAGAGUCCUGAAGGAACGUUGAAGACGACGACGUUGAUAGGCCGGGUGUGUAAGCGCAGCGAUGCGUUGAGCUAACCGGUACUAAUGAACCGUGAGGCUUAACCUU